UCCCUGGUGGCUCAGAUGGUAAAGAGUCUGCCUGCAAUGCAGGAGACCCAGGUUCAGUUCCUGGCUCAGGAA
rnacentral:tRNA from 1 species